rnacentral:rRNA from 1 species
AGGACGAACGCUGGCGGCGUGCUUAACACAUGCAAGUCGAGCGGAAAGGCCCUUCGGGGUACUCGAGCGGCGAACGGGUGAGUAACACGUGAGUAAUCUGCCCCUAGCUCUGGGAUAGCUCCGGGAAACCGGGAUUAAUACUGGAUACGACCACCUUAGACAUCUUUUGUGGUGGAAAGAAUUUCGGCUAGGGAUGAGCUCGCGGCCUAUCAGCUUGUUGGUGGGUAACGGCCUACCAAGGCGACGACGGGUAGCC